rnacentral:rRNA from 1 species
ACUCCUACGGGAGGCAGCAGUGGGGAAUCUUGCGCAAUGGGCGAAAGCCUGACGCAGCCAUGCCGCGUGAAUGAUGAAGGUCUUAGGAUUGUAAAAUUCUUUCACCGGGGACGAUAAUGACGGUACCCGGAGAAGAAGCCCCGGCUAACUUCGUGCCAGCAGCCGCGGUAAUGCGAAGGGGGCUAGCGUUGCUCGGAAUUACUGGGCGUAAAGGGAGCGUAGGCGGACUGUUAAGUUAGAGGUGAAAGCCCAGGGCUCAACCUUGGAAUUGCCUUUGAUACUGGCAGUCUUGAGUACGGAAGAGGUAUGUGGAACUCCGAGUGUAGAGGUGAAAUUCGUAGAUAUUCGGAAGAACACCAGUGGCGAAGGCGACAUACUGGUCCGUUACUGACGCUGAGGCUCGAAAGCGUGGGGAGCAAACAGGAUUAGAUACCCUGGUAGUCCACGCCGUAAACGAUGAGUGCUAGUUGUCGGCAUGCAUGCAUGUCGGUGACGCAGCUAACGCAUUAAGCACUCCGCCUGGGGAGUGCGGUCGCAAGAUUAAAACUCAAAGGAAUUGACGG